rnacentral:lncRNA from 1 species
UGACGAGAAAUAGGAACAAGAAAGUCCUCCCUCUUCACCUCUUCAAAUGGCUGGAACACUAGACCGGUAAGAGUUCCACUGGCAGAAGAAACUACAAGACUAGUGUUCCUUUUCUUUCUGGAAAACAAAGGCAAGGAAGAAAUGCCAUGCCCACCACUAGCAGCGUCCCCUUGCUUUGUUGCAAGAGAAAAGGCAGAAACACUUCUCGAAAAAGUUGAAGCCAUAGCUUAAAAUGAGAAAAACAGAGGUUUUUUGGUAUGUAAAUGGAGAUUUGUGGGUGUGCAGAGGGUGAAGGAGCAGAGGGUGUUUAAAUACAGAGAGGAGGUGCCAGAGGAUGGAUGAGGUUUGUUUCGGACCGCUGGAUCAAGUUAGAUAUUUAGGGCUUAGAUCUUGCCACGUUUUGAGGGCGUGUGGAGGGCUCGUGGUCUAUCCAGUGUGAACGGAACCUCUACUUGUAAAUUCUUUCCACGUUGCGAUCUCAUAAUCCCAAAGACUUGUCCUUCCUUUCUCAAUCGCUUGAGUGUAAUAAAUAAUUGUACUCGCGUAGUGAGACCUGAGACUGUACGUAUUUUAGACUUUUCGUUUUGAUUUGAAAAUUUCAGUGGUGGGUGAUUUCACGUGACAUAUGUGAGAGUACGUUGAUAGUUUUCCACGCUGCCAAAAACUUUGAAUUUGGACAUGUAUUUUGUCGUAUUUAGCGCGGGACAGCCACGCUUUGCAAGAAACCACUUUAGUCCCUUUAAUUGAGUCGAUCCAGCAUUAAAACCCUAAUAAAUUCACAUUUUCCAAUCUGAACCUUUGUAUCACAUUUUAUUAAUUCAAACUCAUUGGGAUAAAUUGUAAAUAUACCGCGAAGAAUAUAAGCAGGGUAAUUAAAUUGAUGAAAUCUUCAUUUCAAUUGAGUCGAAAUAACAAAUUGUGAGGAGUAUAGGGUGAAUUGGAUGAAUAUUGUUACAGGGACUGAUCUGGAUAAUUUAUACAAACACAGGGUCUAAACUGGGAGAUAUUUCCUCUUUUCUUGUCUUGUGAUUUUCUGAGCUGGCAUUGUCGCAAUCCGAGACUAAAAAAAUAAUAAGCUUGUUCUGUUUGCCCACUGUUUCUAACCCAUUCCAGAUCUUCCACUUGAUUUACGGGCAAUGAAAGUGUUAUCACGGUAAUUUUUCAAAGUUUAUUUUACUUAUAAAAAUAUUAAAAUAAUAUCUUUUUAUUUUUAAAAAUUAUUUUUGACAUCGAAAAAAUAUAAAAAUAUUUUAAAAAAUUAAAUUUUAAUAAAAAAUAGGUUAAGAUUCACUUCAAUCAUUAAUAUUAAUGAACUGUGAAGAAAAGAAAAAAUUGCCGAGCCCAGUAGUUCAUGGGCUCAGAAAUGGGUUUGGGCCUGAUUUAGAUUGUUGCAAAACAAUGGGACUUCCGUUUGAGGACUGUAAAUGUCUAGUUCCUUCUUCUCAGUGCCAUUACUUUCGGCCAUAGUUACCAUCUGUAAAUGUCUCCAUGAACGAUGGGAGGUGAUGCCACAAAAACAUUUUUUCUGUGGAAUUUUAAAUUACGUUGUAUAUUUCCUCAUCUGAUAUAUAUAUAUAUAUGUUCUCAAUCACACAAAUGAAAAAAUCCUUAAUGUUUUUACUUUUCAAAACAUGCAUGAUUGAUUAUAGUGAAAACCCUUAAAAAAUGGACAGCCACGUGUAUAAAAUUAUAUUGCAUUUAAAAUGAUGUAUAUAUGUAACUUUCAGACGGGUUUAGACAAUGGUUGUCGUUAAACUGUGUUUUUAUAAAUUUUUUAGUCUUAUUUUUUGUGUUUUUGUAUUAUUUUAAUAUUUUAAUAUUAAAAAUAAGUUUUUAAAAAUUAAAUAAAAAAUAUUAUUUUAAUAUAUUUAUAAAUAAAAAAAAUUUAAAAAAACAACAUUUAUCAUAAUUUUAUUUUAAUUUUUUUUUUUUUUUUGUUUCAAAACAAAAAUAUCCGUAGAAUGGUUCGUUUUAUUUAGAUAUUGACGUUCAAGUACUGUACUGAAUAACAUUUAUGUAGCUUAAAAAAAAAAGGUUUAGCAAUUAUGAGUUAUGACCAUCAGAUUAGUAAAGGGUGAAGACUUGUCCUUCUUUUCUCAAUCGCUUCAGUGUAGUAAAUAACUGUACUCGUGGAGGGAGACCUGGGCUUUACAUAUUUUAGACUUUUCGUUUUGAUUUGAAAAUUUCAGUGGUUGCGUGAUUUCACGUGACAGGAGUGAGACUAGGUUGACAUUUUUCCACGCCGCCAAAAAACUUUAAAUUUGGACGUGUAUUUUGUCGUAUUUAGCGCGAGGCAGCCACACUUUGCAAGAAACCAGUUUAGUCCCUUUAAUUGAGUCCAUCCAGCAAUAAAACCCUAAUAAACUCACCUUUUCAAAUCUGGACCUUUUUAUCACAUUUUAUCAAUUCAAACUCAUUGGGAUAAAUUAUAAAUAUACCGCGAAGAAUAUAUCACAUUUUAUUUUUGAUAUAUUACAUCAAAAAAAUUUAGAAAUAUUAAAAUAAACAAUUUAAAAUAAAAGAAAUAAAUUUUAAUAAAAAAACAGAUUAAAAAAUCACUCUCAAACGUUGUCAUACUAAGCAACUAGGUCAAUCAUUAAUUAUGAACUGUGAAGAAAGAAAAAAAUUGCCGAGCCCAGUAGUUAAUGGGCUCAAAAAUGGGUUUGGGCCAGAUUUAGAUUGUUGCAAAACAAUGGGACUUUCGUUUUCUUCUCUGUGCCAUUACUUUCGGCCAUUGUUACCAUCUGAUAAGUAUUUGGAUUAGGUCAUCUUAAUUUGAUUGCUUUCUUUUCACCAGUCUCCAUGAACGAUGGGAGGCAUGUUAUAUAUAUAGGAGAUGACGCCACUAAAACAUUUUUUUGUGGAAUAUAUAUAUAUAUAUAUAUAUUCUCAACCACACAAAUGAAAAAAAUCCUCCCUAGUAUUUAUGAUAGCUAGAAAAAAGAUUUAGCAGUUAUGGCCUUUAAAUUAGUAAAUGCUCAAUAAUUAAGAAUAUAAAAAAAAAUGAAAAGUAUACUUUGUUUUAUACACAUCAAAUUUCCAUCUUAGAGAAAAGGAAAGGGGAUCAAGAAAGGAAUUAAUAGGAUGAAGAUCAUUGUCCAUAAUUAACUUUAAGAUAUAUUUUUUUGUAUCUUUAAUUUUAAUCAAGUUUUUGAUUAAGAAAAGCCUAGUAAUUAGAGUUUUUAAUAAUCUUUUAUUUUAGCCACUUUUAAUGAAAAGAAAUUAUAUCAAUGAAGUCUUUGGUUCAUUAGAAAGUCAUUACAAGUUGUUUUACAUAUUUUCAGCUGAUGAUUUGAAAGUUAUUGUAAAAUUAAAAACUUGAAAAAAGUUAUGAUUUGACAACUUUAGGGUGCUAGAAUUUGGCCUUCCAAUGAGUCUUAUUAUAUAUAUAAAAAAUUAAUAUUGAGAUCUUUGAUUUAAUAGGCUAUAUUUUUAAAUUGAAGUUGUGAAGUAAGGGUUAUAAUCAAUGAAAAAAACUAAUUAAAGGUAAAAGAUUUUGAUUUGAUAGAUUAUUAUGAUUUUUUAUCUAGUCAAAUGAUGAAAUAUACCUUAUUAUUAUUGUGAUUAGAGUAACCAUGAUUUUUGUUUUUACUUUGAAUGAUAUUGUGCAAUCCAUGUUUAUAUUCUAAGUAAAUAAUUUGAGUUAUUAAAAGUUUAUGAAUAAAUUGUGAAAUUGCUUAUUACACUAUUUUAUUUAAAAGAAAAAUAUAUCACAACCUCUUAUAACCUAUGCUAGUUUUUAUUUUUAAAUAAUUUGAUAAUUUUCAUAAAAAAAAAAAAAGAAGAAGAGCAAGGGCUAUAAUAACAUAUUAGGGGUUUUAAGUGAAUGUGAUAGGUGGUUUGAGGUCUCAUAAGUUAGAAUGAUAAUUAGGCUUUGAUUAAGUUGAAAAUUAAAAUGGAACUGAUCAAUUGUAUUUUAGCGAAUCAAUAAUUUACAAUGUUUAGAGUGCUUAAUUUUCUCUAAAAACUUUUUUAAUUUGUAUAUGUUGUGUUUGUCUUAAAUUGUGGGUUCAAAUAAGAAAACAAACAUUCAUGCAUAUAGUCCAUAUAAAAACCUAAAGUUGUUAUAUUUUAGGGUAAGACUUAUAUGAGUGUUUUUAUUCUCUACACUUUAAUGACUAGAGAGAGGAAAGAAAAGGUGAUUCAUGGUUACAUUAUGAUUUUGAGGUGAGAGAGAAAUUUUACGAGACACCUUGUAAUCUUUUACUUUUUCAUAUUAAAUUUAAUAGUAUGAAUGACUUUAAUAUCUGGCAUAUUAAGAUAUGUGUCUUGUUAGUUCAACAAGGCUUAUUUAAGGCUUAAAAGGUAUAUACUUGUUUAAAAGGAUGGUGAGAAGGAGAAAUAAGAUCUCAUGGAAUAGGCACAUAAUGCUAUUCAACUUUAUUUAUCUGAUGAGAUUCUGAGAGAGUUUACUAAGGAGACAACUACUGGAUUGUGGAAAAAAGUUGGAAACUUUUUACAAGACCAAAUCCCUAAUGAAUUGAUUACACUUGAAGCAUCGGUUGUAUACUAUUCAAAUAAAAAAAGGCAUGCCUAUUAAAGAUCAUCUUUAUAAAUUCAAUAGAGUAAUUUUAAAAUUUAUAUAAUUUUGAUGUUAAGGUUGAAGAUGGGGACCAAAGAUUGAUUUUAUUAUGUUUAUUACCUCUAUUUUAUGAUUAUUUUGCUGAUACUUUAUUAUAUGGACUUGAUAUUCUUAGUUCAAAUUAUGUCAAAACUUUAUUAAACUCUAGAGAGUUGAAAAAGUAAGUGUCAGAGAGUCAUAAUGAUAAUCAUAUAUAUGACUUAAUUAUGAAUGGUGAAACAAAAAAUAAGGGUUUGAGAAGUGGAGGCAUAUUUAAAUCAAAAUUAAAGUCUAUGAAAAUUAAAUGCUUUGAAUGUUAUAAAAUAUGACACUUUAAGAAGAAUUAUCUCAAGCGAAAAGGUAAGGAAAAGAAGAAGAAAACCUCUGAUGAUGUAAAAGAUGCUAAUGAAAAGGAAAUUUCUAAUGAUACUGAAAGUAUUCUAGCUAUGUGUGUUGGUAGAUAUUGAUUUAGCUAAUGCAUCAUACGUGGCUAAUUCAGAUAGUGUUUCUAUUCAAUUAUGGCACAUGCGACUGAAAUAUACGAGUGAGAGGAAAAUAAUAGAGUUUAACAAAUGAGAUUUGUUUUGUGGUCAAGAAUAAGAUAAAUUGAAUUUUCAUGAGCAUUGUAUUUAUGGUAAACAGUGCAUGUGAAAUUUAGUACAAUUAUUCAUUGUAUUUAUGUCAAAAAGUAGAGUACAAUAUUUGUUGACAUUAUUGAUGACUACUCUAAAAAGGUCUGUUUGUAUUUUUUAAAGAAAAUAAGUGAUGUGCUUGUCACUUUUAAGUAGUAGAAAGAUUUAAUUAAAAAGUAGAUUAGUGAGAAGAUCAAGUGUUUAAGAAAUGAUAAUAAUUUGAAAUUCUAAGAACAAAGGAAUUGUUAGACUUCAUAUUAUCAAGAAUACACCAUAACAAAAUAGGGUUGCAGAACAUAUAAAUAUGAGACUAUUGAAAAAAGCAUGUCGUAUGCUUUCACGAGUUAUAUUGUCAAGGGACUUUUAAGCUGAAGUAGUUAACAUAACUUGUUAUAUAAUGAAUAGAUCUUCAUCGAUAGUUUUAAAGUUGAAGACUCCAUAUGAAAUAUCAUCUGGUUCUUAUGUUAAUUACUCUAAAUUGAAAGUAUUUAGUUGUUAUACUAAUGUUUUUAUUAAGAAUGAUAAACUUGGGCCAGGACAAAGGAAAUGCAUAAGCAAUUCAUCUAGGUUGAAUGGAUAUUGGUUGUAAUGUGUUGAUCCCAAGUCACCUAAGUUUAAUACUACUAGGGAUGUUACCUUUGAUGAAUUUUUCAUGUUUCAUAAGGAAAAGGAGUUGAUUGGUGUUAAUGUUAAGAUGGAAUAUGAUACUAGUAAUAAGGUAAAGCUUUAGAGAUAGUGUUGAAAAUUGUGUUUUAAUUGAGCCUGAUGAGGAAAUAGUGAAGAAUAUAAUUAAUAAAAAUGCACCUGAAGAACAAUAUUGCAAUAUUGCAAUAAAAAGACAAAGAAGAUAGAUAAAAGCACAAGUUAAGUGUGGUUAUGCUAAUUUAAUUGAUUUUGCCUUGAAUGUUGUAAAGAGUCUUAAUAAUCAUGAGCCUUGUUCUCAUAAAGAAGUAAUUUCUUAUAAAGAAUCUUAUUAAUGCAUACUUGCUAUGAAUAAAGAGAUUGAAUCUCUUUAUAAGAACCAAACAUGGGAGUUUGUUAAACCAUCAUAGAGUCAGAAGAUUAUUGGGUACAAAUAGGUUUAUAAAAGGAAAGAUGGAAUCCUAGAGGUUGAUGAUGUAAGGUUUAAAGCACACCUAAUUGCUAAUGGUUGGUUGACUUUAAUAAAGUGUUCUCUCAAGUUAUGAAGCAUAGUUUUAUUCGGGUAUUGCUUACUAUAGUUGUUUUGUUUAAUUUAGAGCUUGAGCAGCUAGAUAUCAAAAUAAUUUUUCUAUAUGGUAAGUUGGAGGAAAGGAUAUACAUGCAUCAACUAAAGGGUUUUAUUGUUCAAGGUAAGAAAGACUAAGAAUACUUAUUAAAGAAAUCAUUGUAUGACUUGAAGUAGUCACAAAGACAAUAGUAUAAAAGGUUUGAUACUUUUAUAUUUGGACAUGGUUAUUUAGGAGUGAUUAUAAUAUUUGUUUGUAUUUCAAGAAGCUUUCAGAUGGUUCAUUUUUGUACUUGUUAUAUAUUGUAUGUUGAUGACAUAUUGAUUGUCUUAUGUUUUGGAUGCUUUUACAACCAUUUGUACAUCCUAUUUAUGAUAUCGAUUCUCUCCACUUGCUUACUAAUAAACAGACAACAAAUUAUAGACUAAGCUAUAUUGGUUCAAAUUUAUGGAAAGAACAAUCAACCUUCACUGAAUAGCAUGAUUUAAAAGAACUGAAUUAUGUAGUGUACAUAAAGUUUGGAAGCAUCAUUGUCCUUACACCACAACAAAUGCUAGAAUUGGCCUAGGUUUUGGCUAACAAUAAAAAACCUUUUUCAUGGAUAAUAAGGUUCGACAAUGAUCCUGGUGAGUUUGUUAACCUUUGUUGUAAAUAUAGUAGAUUAAUAAUCAAUGAUGUUUAGUUUACCAUGAUAAGAGUAUACAAAACAUAAAAUAAUGUUCAAUGAAAGCCUUUAGUUUACCAUAAUAAGAGUAUACAAAACAUUAAAAAAUGUUCAAUGAAAGCCUAUAAUGUAUACAAGUUAAACAUGCUUUUAACACAAAUAUAAUAAAAGAAUAUCAACAUGUAUUCAAAUUUGAAUAUAUUAAAUAUAUAUUCAAAUUUGCAAUUGAUAUAAAGUCAAAGUCUAGAUAUAUAUACUGUCAUUAUCCAAUUUUUUAUUCUAAAUAUUUUCAAAAUACAAAAAAAAAUUGUAAAAUCUUUUUUUGACUCGUUUGUGUCAUUUCAUCAUUUUCAAUGCUUUCUUGAAAAUUCAAAAUUUAUUUUUAAUACACUCAGUUAUUAAAAUAUUUAUUUCAAAAUCAUCGAUUAAUUUUUUUAUAUCAAGUUGAUGUAGUCCUUUUCAAAAAAAUUAAAAAGAGAAGAGAAGGACCAAAGUAUCUGGAAGAAAAAUAAAGGAGGACUAAAAUUUUGAAAGAGACAAGUGGGAAAAAAAAUAAACACUCACCUAUAUUAUCCCACUCACCCAUAUUUUCCCACUCACAAUAAAAAAACACAAAAACACACUUACCUAUUAUUCUUCCACUCUCCCAUGCUCCACCAUGAACCCCAUUAAAAAACAAAUAAUAAUAAAAAAUUAUGGAUGGGGUUUGAGAAAAAGGUUAGGGCAAUUUUUAUUUUUUUUUGGGGGGGUUGUCCUUCAAAAGAAAAGAGGAGAUUGUUGAAAAUCUACGGAGGAGCCUGAUUCGGCUAGCACCUCCCCAUUUUUUCAACACCAGUCAGUAAAACAACCCAUAGUUUAAAUUAUGUUGAUAUUCCAUAUUAAAUAGUAUAUAUUCAAGAUUGAAUUUCAGUAUAAUUUUAAUUUUAAAAGCAAGUGAAUCUCAUUUUUAAUUUAGCUUAAAAUGUGUCCAUUAACCUUAUUAUUUAAACAAAUUUCCUCACAGUCAACCAUUUUUUCACCUGAAUUCCUUACAGAAACAAAGGAUAGAGGCAUGUUAGCAAGUUAGCGUCCACAACAGCAGAUUUCAAAGCACCCAUCAAUAGGAGUAUUUGUAAGUCACUUGGGAUGGAAUUCGGUCCUUGAAGCCUUAGUUGUGGAGUUCUUGUUUUUUUUUUUUUUUUGCCAUUUUUCUCAUAGCAGCAAAACAACUGUUGGUUUGCUUGCAACAAAUGGGGUAUCGGUAUGGAGAUAAACGGUGAUGUUAGGAGAGAUCAAGUUGGGAAGCUUGUUAUAGAGUUAAUGGAGGGAGAAAAGUUGGGAAGCUUGUUAUAGAGUUAAUGGAGGGAGAAAAGGGUAAGGAAAUGAAAAGGAAGGCGAUGGAAUGGAAGACAAAGACAGAAGAAGCUGCCAGCCCCGGCGGUUCUUAUUGCAAGAACUUCGAAAAUCUGCUAGCAGACAUUCUUUUGGUGCAAAAAACAAGAAAUAAAAUUGAGAAAGGUAAGCCAGUAGUUUCGCCAGUAUUUUUGUAUCAACAAAAAAAUCAAUGCAAUGGAUUUUCUCUGCCCUUGAACAAGAAAUCAAUGUAAUGAUUGUUCUGUAUCAAAUAAAACAAGCUAUGGUUCACAAAAUCAGCUCUGAAUCAUAUGAUUUAAUUUGAUCACCAGACUCCAUAUUUAUAGAUCAAUCAACUGAGGUGAUUCUACACUCAAACAGCCUGAAGUCAAAAGGGAACAUCAAGCAAAAUCCAUACUUAAAAUACAAAUACAUUUCACCUCCAAAUAAAAGAGUCCAAAUCUGUUUUCGUAAUGUUGCCACACAUUUUAUGAAAGCAAAGAAACUACGUGCUUCUUACUACAUUAUUGUCUAUUAUACAUCCUACACUGAAAACUCAUUAUCCUCAAUCCAUUAAAACUCAUAGAGAAGUUAUCCUAAAUCUACUAUAGCACAGACUUGAACCCAGAACGGGUGAAGAUUGUAUUUUCACAUCAUGCAUGGAGGAGCAUCUGAUCAAAGUGCCAUACUCCUACAAGUUCACAAAAACUUGUCUUAAAACCCAAAGUUAUAAAUAUAUGGAGAAUGGAAGAGUAAGUGGACAAGCAUGGUGAAAGUAACAAAGAUACUGAAAACGUAAGUUUUAUGCAUACCAUGGCCUUUUCCAACCAUCCGCAAUUGAGUGACAUAUUCUGCUAUCUUCUUAAUGGAUUCAACCUGUUAAAAAAAUUGUAUAUGUCAGAGUAUGAUGCAAUAAGUAUCCUUGCAAGUGUGAAAGUAAAAUGUCACCGAUUUUUUAUGUGAUUGUGUUCUUCCAUACUAAAUUUUUCAAUUUUAUUCUCAGUUUUGGACAGAACAAAUGUCUAACAGGUUGAUGACAGGAGGAAAACAGUAAUUUUUUUUUUUUCUGGAAAUAGAUGAGUGAAUGUUUUUAAAUGCAUAAUCUGAUAUCUUUAUUUUCACCUUCAAUCUGGCACGACCGCCUUCCAGUGUAUCUCACAGGAUUAGUGCAUACAAGUGUUCAAUCCAGUAUUAUAUCCAGGUAAAGAAGCAAUUAUUUUGAGCUUACCUGCUCUUUCAAAAACACGCUAUCGAUGAAAUCUUGCAAUUGUGGAUCAUUGUUCUUAUCUGCCACCUGUUAUUUAUCAAGAACACAGUAUAGCUCAUGAGCACAAUUCUGAAAACAUUGAUUAUUCCAGGCAUUUAAUGCAAGAAAGCACAUAAUACUUCCUAAUUGCAUGAAAUUAAAAUAGAAAAAACAUGGUGAAGGAAAAAGACACGUCACCUUGUGCAAGUUCAGUAGUUUCUCAUUUGUCAACUUCUCCAAAGACAGUGCUAGUUCCAUAGCUGAAUCAAAGAAUCAAAGACAGCCCAUGUUAAUUAACUCAGAAACAUAUCCUGACACCUCUAUAUUAUGGAAAGCAUAUCAAAGAUUGGAGACAAAAUCCACCAACUAAGUCACUUCCCUUAAAAUAUGGAUGGAAUUAUGAUGUAGCCGGGGUUAUAUAAAAUUAAAGGUUACGAUUAUUCGAAUAAUAAUUUGCUAUAACUAGAUAGAGAUCUGCCACCAACAAAUCAUGUUAAUGACUUUGUAGAUGUUUUUAUUGACCAAUGCGACAUGUUUAGAGGUGAGAGAAGAUUUGAUCAACAUCAAACUAGGAUAGUGACUUAAAAAUAAUAAUAUCAGGAAAUUGAACCAUUGAAUCGGAUUCCUAUCUCUUCAGGUAAUUCUACAUACAACUUUUUUUUUAUGAGUAUCGUUUCAUUUAUUGGACCGUUAGAUCUUCUAAAAUUAGACUUGAAAGUUAUUGUAUGGGUCAAUUUUGUUAUUUUGCUUAUAUUUUUUUGGAAUUAUUGUUUUAUUUUGAAUUUUAUAUUAAUUUUCUUUAUUAUUUCAGAUUUUUAUUUGUUUCGUAGCAGAGACAGUGUUUUCUUCAUGGCUUGUAAAUCUCUAAGAAAACAAACAUUAGCCUUAUUUUAAAAAAAAAAACUAUAAAUUUAGAGUUUAUAUUUGUAAUCAGUUUCAUUAGUUAAAUCUUUUGUGUUUUCUGUAUUAUCGACAAAAUCCACAAAUAAUACUCAACAGUUUCUAGCAAUGAACACGAGUCUACAAACAUACCAUAUAAUGCAUCUCCUUUGUCACCAUGCUCAAAUUCAGAAACGGGUUUCAGUAUAGAGUGAAGCACUACUUUCCCUCCUCGUAUAUUCUAAUCACAUAUAUUUGGAAAAUAAUUAAUUAAGAAUACCAAAAAUUAAAAAGUAUAUAUUCGAGUUCGAAAAAGGAAGUGGUAGCCUGGUAGGUACCUGAUACUUCAUGAACUUCUCAGCAUGUUCUCUUUCUUCUUCACUUGAUUCCUUGAAGAAUCUGAUUAGAACAUGACCACACCAUACUCAGUUAUUACAAAUCAAAGACAAAAAUGAGGGAAGUAGCCAAAAACAAAGAGACGGGAUUUUUAUGGUUACUUGGAUAGGCCUUUGAGAGCAAUGUUAUCCCUGUCAAAAUAGGCAAACAUGGCAUGGUAUACGUAGGAAGCAGAAUACUCCACACUGUUAACACAAAACACAAACACAAAUCAAUAUCUAUCUACUCUACAAUGAGAUUUCAAGAUUAUGUAUCUCUUACAAAAAGAGAGAAGUUAUUACUGACUUGAUCUGCUCGUUAAUGGCAGCUUCACACUCAUCCACAUAGAACUGACGAGCAAGAGAAACCUGACUAGAAAUAGGAACAAGAAAGUCCUCCCUCUUCACCUCUUCAAAUGGCUGGAACACUAGACCAGUAAGAGUAUUCCCGGUGGCAGAAGAAACUACAAGACUAGUGUUCCUUUUCUUUCUGGAAAACAAAGGCAAGGAAGAAAUGCCAUUUCCACCGCUAGCAGCGUCCCCUUGCUUUGUUGCAAGAGAAAAGGCAGAAACACUUGUCGAAAAAGUUGAAGCCAUAGCUUAGAAUGAGAAAAAAGAGAGGUCUUUUGCUAUGUAAAUGGAGAUUUG